CUCAGACUCCAGCUCUUUCUUAUUCUCCUUAUAUCUGGGUACCAGGACCGCUGAUCUUGAUGGGCCACCCUAUUAGCCAUCUAGAUGUGAUGCGUUGGUACGGACUGCUGCUUUAACCGUUUUUUUUCUGAGCAACUGAUCGGAUGGAUAUCACAGUCCAUUCCCCUCGGAAUCCGGUUCCUGAUCCGCAGUUUGUAACAUGAGCGGUCACCAUGUGGCGGCUUACCAGAACAACGGUCCUGAUCAGCAGACAUAUCUGCUGCGUGUAUUGCGAGUAUGCAAUUGCACAGAGCUUCUGUGCAGCGACCUUUUUUUUUAAAAU